rnacentral:lncRNA from 1 species
ACCCACUCCCUCACCCACCCACUCCCACCUCUUGGCCCUGGUGUUCCCCUGUACUGAGGCAUAUAAGGUCUGCAGGAUCAAUGGGCCUCUCUUUCCACUGAUGGCCGACCAGGCCAUCUUCUGAUACAUAUGCAACUAGAGACAUGAGCUCUGUGGGGGUACUAGUUAGUUCAUAUUGUUGUUCCACCUAUAGGGUUGCAGAUCCCCCCCACCCCAGCUCCCUGGGUAGUUCCUCCAGCUCCUUGAGGUCAUGCUAGGUCCCUUUUUUGUGAGCACUCCAUAGCUUCAGUAAUAGUGUCAGGCCUUGGGAACUCUCCUUGAACUGAAUCCCUCUUUGGACCUGUCGCUGGACCUUCUUUUCCUCAGGCUCCUCUCCAUUUUCAUCCCUGUAAUUGUUGCAAACAGGAACAAUUAUGGAUCAGAGUUUUGACUAUGGCUUGCCCCCCCCCUCAUUUGAUGCCCUUGUCUUCCUGUUGGAGGCUGGCUUUAUGAGUCCUCUCUCCUGACUGAAGGGCAUUUCAUCUAAGGUCCUAAGGUCCCUCCGUUUAUUUGGAUAUUUUCUUUAUUUACAUUCCAAAUGUUAGCACCUUUAUUCAUUUCCCCUCCCAAAACUCCCAAUCCAAACCUCCGUCCCCCUGCUUACCAACCCACCCACUCUCACUUCCCUGUCCUGGCAUUCUUCUACACUGGGACAUUAAACCUUCUCAGGACCAAUAAAGCCAUCUUCUGCUACAUAUACAGCUGGAGCCAUGGGUCCCUCCAUGUGUCCCUCUUUGGUUGUGGUUUAGUCCCUGGGAAUUCUGGGGGUUCUGGUUGGUUGAUAUUGUUGUUCUUCUUAUUCCAGAGCUGAAGAGAUGGCUCAGCAGUUAAGAGCACUGACUUCUAGAACUUCCAGAGGUCCUGAGUUCAAUUCCCAGGAACCCCAUGGUGGCUCAAAACCAUCUGUAAUGGGAUCUGAUGCCCUCUUCUGGUGUCUGAAGACAACUCCAGUGUACUCAUAUAAAUGAAAUAAAUUAAUAAAUCUUUCUUAAAAAGAAAAAAAAAAAAGGCAUGCAAAAGAAGCAGAGGAGUGGUGCUUGUGUGCCCAGGCUUUAAAAACAAAAAAAAAAAAAAAACAAAAAAAAAAAAAAAAGAAUGAAUUCAAAUACAAAAAAGGGGACAGUAACAGGGCAGUGGAGAAAAAGAAAGAACAAAUGGAUGAAUUAAAAGAAAGAAGAGUAUUAGCAGUAGUGAAUCAAACACAAAUGCCUUGAUCGAGCCAGGAUUAAGGAGUGGGGUUGUAGGUGAAUGGCAGUGUGAUUGGCUACAUACGUGAGCCAGUCAGUUUGAUACUCUGUACUGAAGCAAAGAAAGAAAAUAAUAGAGACAGAAUUACAAUAAAGUCUUGGUUACACAUGAAUAACUAGACCGUGAAUAGUACAUUGGAACACACAUUUAUUCCACAAAAUAUGACAUCUUUAUUCAACUGACUUUGGAAAGUUGUAAAAAGUGAUAUUUGAUAGUCAUUCAGAAAAUAUAGUUAUUUAAGUAUUUUGAAAGAGGAAUUUUAUUUUGAAAUGUAUGCAAUCAGGGGGAAAGAAAAAUUUAAAUGGCCAAUGGCAUUUAUUUGUGAAACUUUACUGUAUGGGUAUUAUUUAAAAUAAGAUUCUAGGAAGUGAAUGAAGAAGAUUUGGGAAAUGCAGGUGUGAGCUAAGCUGUUAAUGACUAAAUAUUGUUAUGGCAUGAAACUUUGGUAUGGGUUUUAUUUCUAUUUAAAUUCCGAUUCUGCUUCUUUAUGUGCAUAAGUAGGAUAAAAUUGAUAUUAUUUAAUUAGUGGGGAAGUAGGGAUGAGAUAUGCAAGAACAGAAAAAAAAUGUCAGGAGACAUUCCAGAACCUUAGGCACUAAAUAUGGUAGGAGAGAAUGGAGUCACUAUCUACCAUUGCCUUCCAGUGUGGCAUAGCAUACAUUCAUAUACCCUAGGAGAAGGUAAAUCUUCUAAGAGGUUCAGACAUUUUUUUGACAUAACCUGGUGUAACUCUUCAUAAAUGUUAUAAUGAAAAAUAUUUUUCUGGGAGAAUGUAGUAAAUUAAUAUUUGUCUUAAUUAAGCCUGGCUUCUACCCUAUUGUAAUUGAGUCCAGGCAUUCCGUGUUUGUGAAAUUGCUGAGCAGACACGGGGAGUCAUGCUUGGAGAGGAAUCUUGAGUAGGUUUCAGAAGAAGAGAAGAAGAGUUCCUCAUUAGCUACUGAGAUCUGGGAAAGAAGACAGAGAGCAAAUAAAAAUGUGCAAUGUGUGGAACUUGGGGGUUGAACAUCACCUCACUCCUUUCAAACUUCAGACUAUGGUGUGGAAGUAAUUGGCAGGAAAUAUUUUUCCCACUUUCACUGUGAUUUCUGAGUAGACAAAUUCACAGUGUGAAGUUUGUGUUGAUAUGGCUUCACUUCGGCACACACACCCAGACUCAUGAAAGAAUGGCAGUGUGACAGUUUUGAGAGAGAGAGAGAAGAGAGAGAGAGAGAGAGAGAGAGAGAGAGAGAGAGAGAGAGAGAGAGAGAGAGAGAGAGAGAGAGAGAACACUGCUCUACAUGGUGGAUAGAAAUGAAGCUCUUACUCUUGUGUCUUGGUCCCAAAAUAAGAGUUGAUCUCAAAGCCAAAAGACCCACUGAGGGUUUUCCUGGUACGAGUGUUUGUGGUACAGAAGCUGCUACAAAAACACCCUAGUCUGAUACUGCAUGCAUAUUUUAAAACACAUAUAAAGAAUAACUGUGUCUUAAAGUGUUCAGGAAACAAAGAAUAAAUGCACAUAAGCGUUGAAAUAGACGAUAAGAACCCUGAAUAUAAAACCACUACUCUAUUGCCAUGACCUAGGACAAUCCAAGGGCACAGAGGACAAUGGCCACCGUGUUUCCUCCAGCUUCUGCCAGGGCAUAAUGUCACUUAUGUGAGGGACAUUCUGUAAAACACAACACUUUCCAGGAAAAAAAAAGUAGCAGAGUGUGAGACACUGCUAAUUAGCCAGUUAAAAUAUCCACCAGGAACCCUGCCCCUGUUUGGCUGGGUUGUGGCCUGUGAGGAAGAUUAGAUUUGUUGGAUGAGUGAGAACCUUCAAUUACUGUGUACAUCAGAGUUAGCCUAAGUGUGAAUUUGCAGCCCUACCAUAAUACUUAGCCUUAACCAUCAUUCUGUCCUUUUCAGUUCAUUGGCUGUCCAUAUGCAAUUAGUCCACAUUUACAGAUACUUGUUUAUUAGGCUAUGGCUACUGCCAUUAAUGAAAUAUUCUAAAAGGAAAAGUAUUUGGAACCUGAGCAAAAAAACACAUGCUCUGUGGCUGGGGCUGUCACCGCCACCAACUGACUCCGUAACCUCAGGCAAGUCAUUUAAUUUCUCUGGGCAUUAAUUUUCUCUGAAAAAAAUGAGGAGACCAAUGUAAAUCAUUGCUAAGGUCAAUUUUGAUUUUGAUGUCUGUCAUGUGAGUGCUAAAACGAGGCCUGCUGAGAUGAUGGUGGUUAGAUUUGCAUUAAUCAAGAAACAAUGAUAAUGAGUAUAGAACCAUUUAGUGAACAGAGGCCAUUUGCCUGACACCAAGUAAGUCAUUUCAUAGACACUAUUUCUAGGCAUCUAAAUAAACGCAAGAGGAUAGAGUUUCACAGUCUGCUAUUUUUUCUCUGUGCUACACAGCUGGUGAAUGUGGUAUCCAGGUUCAUAGGCCAUAAUUUCUUUGGAGUUUAUAUGCCAGAUAUGUAUGGUACUUAUACAUGGAGAUUAUUUUGUCUGAAGAUUAAUAUGUUCUAGGAAUUAUUAAAAUCUUUCAUGUCCACAGUCACUAAGAAGCUCUUUAUAGUAUCAAGGCAAAUCAAACUCCCCUCCAACGUCCUUUAGAUCUCAUUUAGAUUGUGUAGUAAGAAUGUAUUUUCAGAUUUCUGUGUUUUUGAGCUUAUGCAUGUGCACACACACACACGCACGCAUGCACACACUCACACACACACACACACACACACACACGUGUGCGCGCGCACGCACACACACCUGGGAAUUCAUGGGAAAGGGUUUGACACCAUCAAGGAUGGAACGUGGGAAAAAAGAAGUCCAGUUCAUAUCUCACUCUGAGGGCCCUACCAGUACAAAGUCACCACAUCUCAGUCCUGGCUCCUGACAGCAUAGAGCAUGUAGUUCCUCAACUCAAUAGGAUGACUUUAACAACAUCUGUUCUCAACUGAAAUCUGCCUCUUAGGAAGUCUCUGAAUAUCACCCAGUACUUCCUGGGAACAAAACUGGGGUCAGAACAAAGGAGAAAAAGCAGUGGUAUACCCUCAUAGUAGAAUGUGGAUGUCUGAAGAGAUGAACCAAGGCCACUGGGCAUGUACUAGCUAAUAGAAUAGUCUCAUGCUAAACCUGGAUGAGGUGAGUCCUCAUAGUAAAUGCAAAGUUCUCCAAAACAACCUAUGGGUUCUUUCACCUAGCACCCAUUCGGUCUGGUUCACUAUGGCUCUGGAUUAUUUCCACAGAUGUUCCUCUUCUUGUGCAACAGAUAGUCUCUGUCUCCCUGUGUUGUCACAUAGAUUUGUGAUAUGCUCACACAUACCUGGCAUCCUUGUGGGUGUAGUUUGUUUUUUUCUUUCUUGAAAUAAAGUUAUCAAUUAGUUUGGAUUACAGGAACCCAAACUUCCCUUAAAGUUCUUCAUAUCAAAUAUAAUAGCAUUCUGAAGAAAUGAGUGUUGGGGCUUUGACAAAGGAAUUGGAAGGACACAUUACUCUGAAGCUAAGUUGAUGUUAGGUGUGACAAUUAAGUAAAUACUUCUCUCCAACUAUCACUCUGUAAUGAACAUGAAAGUGCAUAUCUUUAUUCAUCAAUAUUCAAUGCCAAGAGCAUCAGUGCAUGAAACUUGUUGAGUACUACACUUGAUUGAAUGAAAAAUAAAAUCAAUACCAUGUUGAAUGGUCACUGUUUUAACUUUCUUUACUGUCUCUGUGAUCAAACACAGACCAAAAAUCAACUUGGGGAAGAUUGUCACCAUUUAUAGUGAAGGGAAGUCAGGGCAGGAGCUCAGACAGAAACUCAAGCAGAAACCAUGGAAGAGCAUUGCUUGCUGACUUAUUCAUUGGCUCAUGCUCUGCUACCUUUCUUGUAUAACUCAGGACCACCUGCCUAGGGAUGGUGCCACACAUAGUGGGCUGGACCCUCCCAAAUCAAUCAUAAAUCAAAAAACAAAACAAAACAAAACAAUCUCUCAAGGUGUGACUAUAGAAAUCUCAUCUAAGCUAUUCCCCACACAAGGUUCUCCCACACCAGGUGACUCUACAUUAUAUCAAGUUGACAAUAGAAACUAGGACCCACAGCUACUGUCACAUGACCACCACCACCACCACCAUCAUCAUCAUCAUGAUAAUAAAGAGAAAAACUUUAAAAUUAGCCAGAGAUGUGACAGAUAUUAAAAGUUAAUAAAGAAGCAAAUCUUCAGCAUUUAAAACUAAUUAAGUAACUGAACUCAAGCAAUCUCAUUGAAAUGAAUAAUUUGUAUUUAAUAAUAUAUCUCUUUUUGGCAAAUUUUUAAAGCCAAAUAGUUUUCUUCCAAUUAAUUCAUAUUUUAAACAUACACUGAAAUUGUGUUAUCACAAUACUAUAUUAAUACUGAAUAACCCUAGACUAUACCUCUGGCUCCAGGUUAUUAUAAAGUAAAAGUAUCUUGUAACUUUUCCUACUUCAAAUGUCUAUGAAUUAUGUUUUUAUGUGUUGGUAUUUAAUAAAAACAUUGUACCAAUAAUUGAAGCAGCUGGCUUUAGUUUGCUCACUAUAGCAUUAUAAAGCAUUGUUGAAGCAUUAUAUUUCUUUUUUCCCCCCAAAAAUGGCAGGAGGGGCUUUCCCCUUUCUAUGACUAUUGUAAGAAGCCUUGAUUCCAGCUAAAUACUUAAUAAAAAAUGAAAAAAAGAAGCCUUGAUUCCUCUUUUACAUAUAAUAUUGAAAAGAAAAGAAAUACGAAUUAUAUAUUU